UCCCAACAUUGAAUGUACGUUUUGUAAUGGCCUGUUAGUAUACCGCGUAAAAGCUGAAGCAUUAGAAUGCCUGAGAGUAUGUCUUUCUUCAGUAACUUGAAUCUCAAAGCUACUAGGAUGGCAUCUUGUCAAGCACAGAUCCAAAUGUGGAGAACAAUCAAACUUGCUUUUAGCAUUAUCUAAAGAAGAAUUGUAACCAGCAGAUGUUCCCAUGAAAUCUAUAGCUUCUCUAGACGAGAUGACAAGGACAUGAUUGUUG
rnacentral:misc_RNA from 1 species